rnacentral:rRNA from 1 species
GACGAACGCUGGCGGCGUGCUUAACACAUGCAAGUCGAACGGGUCUGCCCUGUUUUUUGCGGGGUGGGUCAGUGGCGAACGGGUGAGUAACACGUGAGUAACCUGCCCCUCACUUCUGGAUAACCGCUUGAAAGGGUGGCUAAUACGGGGUGUUCUGGCUGUGCCGCAUGGUGUGGCUGGGAAAGAUUCACUUUUGUGGUGUUUUGGUGGGGGAUGGGCUCGCGGCCUAUCAGCUUGUUGGUGGGGUGAUGGCCUGCCAAGGCUUUGACGGGUAGCCGGCCUGAGAGGGUGGGCGGUCACACUGGGACUGGGAUACGGCCCAGACUCCUGCGGGAGGCAGCAGUGGGGGGUAUUGCACAAUGGGCGGAAGCCUGAUGCAGCGACGUCGCGUGAGGGAUGGAGGCCUUCGGGUUGUGAACCUCUUUCGCCGGUGAAGAAGGUCCUGCUCUUUGUGGUGGGGUUGACGGUAGCCGGGUUAUGAAGCGCCGGCUAACUACGUG